AGAGUUUGAUCCUGGCUCAGAACGAACGCUGGCGGCGUGCCUAACACAUGCAAGUCGAGCGCGAAUGGAGCAAUCCUAGUAGAGCGGCGCACGGGUGCGUAACACGUGGAUAAUCUGCCUGGGUGUCUGGGAUAACCAGUCGAAAGAUUGGCUAAUACCGGAUAAGCCCCCGGGAGCUUCGGCUCUUGAGGGAAAAGGUGGCCUCUGUAUACAAGCUAUCACAUCCAGAUGAGUCCGCGGCCCAUCAGCUAGUUGGCGGGGUAAUGGCCCACCAAGGCAACGACGGGUAGCUGGUCUGAGAGGACGAUCAGCCACACUGGAACUGAGACACGGUCCAGACUCCUACGGGAGGCAGCAGUGGGGAAUUUUGCGCAAUGGGCGAAAGCCUGACGCAGCAACGCCGCGUGUGUGAUGAAGGUCUUUGGAUUGUAAAGCACUUUCGACCGGGACGAAAACCUGUUGGCUAACAUCCAGCAGCUUGACGGUACCGGGAGAAGAAGCACCGGCUAACUCUGUGCCAGCAGCCGCGGUAAUACAGAGGGUGCAAGCGUUGUUCGGAAUUAUUGGGCGUAAAGCGCGUGUAGGCGGCUUUGCAAGUCGGAUGUGAAAGCCCUCGGCUCAACCGAGGAAGUGCGUUCGAAACUGCAGAGCUUGAGUACCGGAGAGGGUGGCGGAAUUCCCCAAGUAGAGGUGAAAUUCGUAGAUAUGGGGAGGAACACCGGUGGCGAAGGCGGCCACCUGGACGGUCACUGACGCUGAGACGCGAAAGCGUGGGUAGCAAACAGGAUUAGAUACCCCAGUAGUCC
rnacentral:rRNA from 1 species